UACGUAGGGGGCAAGCGUUGUCCGGAAUCAUGGGGCGUAAAGCGCGUGUAGGCGGCUUCGUCAGUCCGUUGUGAAAGUCCAGGGCUCAACCCUGGAAUGCCGAUGGAUACUGCGGAGCUAGAGUCCGGAAGAGGCGAGUGGAAUUCCUGGUGUAGCGGUGAAAUGCGCAGAUAUCAGGAGGAACACCGGUGGCGAAGGCGGCUUUCUGGGCCUGAUCUGACGCUGAGGCGCGAAAGCGUGGGGAGCAAACAGG
rnacentral:rRNA from 1 species